rnacentral:lncRNA from 1 species
UUUCUCCUCCUCCUCCUCUUCCUGCCUCCGCACGGCGCGCUCCCCGGUCCCUGCAACUGCCACAGCUACCGCCUUGGCAGCUGGGCAACUUGGAAGGCUCCCCUGGGAUGGCGGGGGAGUGGGGCGCAUGCCAGAAAGAAAAAGGCAUUUGGAGUCACCCUUACUUCUACUGUCAAGGGGACGUGAAGGAGAGUGUGGUCACAAGUCGCGAGGGUCGCCUGAACCGUCGCUGCAGAUCGGAGACGUUUCAACAGGAAAAAACAAACAACUACCCACAGUCCUGGACAUAGGAUGAACUCUCUAGAGAAGCAAGUGGGUCUGAGCAAUGCUGGGGAUGGACUGUAAUGGAUUUCGCAGUGUAUUGCCCGGAUUGCUCUCUUGGGAGCGAGUCCCUUAUUUCCCAGCUGUCAGAAGUGUUGGCUGCCGACAGCUCACAGCUGAGCCCUUUGCUGAGACUUGUCCUCAGCUGACGACUGCUUCCUGGCUUAUGGUCAUGUCACCUCCCUGAGGUGCAGUUUGCUUCAAGUGACUUAACAUUGCAGUGGUACAAAGACCUAGUCCUGUCCCCCUAAUGUGGAGACAACUCCAAGGGCCAGGCCAAUUCCAGAACUCCCUGUGAGUUUGGCUGAUACCUCUGUUUUUAAUUGAUCCUCAGUUCACUUCUCCCUCUAUCUAAUUCUGCUUCUCUGACAUCUUUACAGGUUGUGUUCCUGAGUAUACUUGCUAGUAACCUUCCUGCAUACAAGUUUUUGUUUCAGAGCCAGUUUCCUGGGGGAACUGAAACCUAGACAAUUAUAAUGAGUAAAGGACAUAAUCUGUCAUUUCACCUGCUUAAAAUAAUGAUGACAUUAUUUAUGACAUCGUGUCAUGACCCAAAUUUCUCACCUUAGGAUUUUGUUUUAGAAUUAAGUACUCACGAAGACACUACUUUCCUGAAAACCUGUUCUCUCCCUUUAUUAAUGAAAAACUAGACAAUUGAUCAUUAUUCCCUUUAUAUUUGGCUACUGAGAGAAUAAACUUGAUAUUUUGUUACAGUCCUUCCCCAAAUUCUGAAAAAGUUGUUAAAACAUCUGUAGCAA